AACACAGCGAUUCUGAUAUUUCCUCUUGAAAACAAAAUUACAAAGAAACAGACAGUGAGAAAAUAGGGCUUACAACUUGGAUUAGUGAAAAUGGUAGUAGCAGAUCUGUAGUAGGUGUUACAGGAUCAUCCAGUAUAGAUGUGAACAUGAACAGCGAGAAUGAGAAUAGCAUAGAGUGUGAAGAAAAUAAGAGUAUGAACAGCAAUCGCCUUUCCAUUAGUCUUCAUGCUCCCAAAUUCGAGAGUGCGGUUGUUACCCGGUAUCUGAAACAGAAGCCCAGGUUGCAGCAGGAUGAAGAGUACUACUCCGAUGAGCACCGGCCCCCAGUCCGCCAUUAACAGAGAGGUAUUUCUUUCGCAAAAUAGGUGUAGGUGU
rnacentral:misc_RNA from 1 species